rnacentral:rRNA from 1 species
UACGUAGGGAGCAAGCGUUGUCCGGAAUCAUUGGGCGUAAAGCGCGCGUAGGCGGCCCUGUAAGUCCGUUGUGAAAGUCAAAGGCUCAACCUUUGAAAGCCGAUGGAUACUGCAGGGCUAGAGUCCGGAAGAGGCGAGUGGAAUUCCUGGUGGUAGCGGUGGAAUGCGCAGAUAUCAGGAGGAACACCAAUAGCGAAGGCAGCUCGCUGGGACGGUACUGACGCUAAGGCGCGAAAGCGUGGGGAGCAAACAGGG